GAUGAAGAACGUAGCGAAAUGCGAUACUUGGUGUGAAUUGCAGAAUCCCGUGAACCAUCGAGUCUUUGAACGCAAGCUGCGCCCGAAGCCAUCAGGUUGAGGGCACGUCUGCCUGGGCGUCACAUAUCGUUGCCCAAUGCCUAUUGCAGUGCAAUAGGAAUUUCUAGGGCGAAUGAUGGCUUCCCGUGAGCGUUGUUGCCUCGCGGUUGGUUGAAAAUCGAGUCCUUGGUAGGGUGUGCCAUGGUAGAUGGUGGUCGAGUUAGAACGAUACCGAUCAUGUGCAUGCUCCCCAAAAUAUGGCCUCUAUGACCCACACGCGUCUUUUGACGCUCAUGACGAGACCUCAGGUCAGGCGGGGCUACCCGCUGAAUUUAAGCAUAUCAAUAAGCGGAGGA
rnacentral:misc_RNA from 1 species